CUGCACCGUGCACACCAAACAUUUGAUUACCUUUUUCCCCCCAGCUUGUUUAUACUAUGUACAAUUCAAUCAGACGAACAGGAACAGAGAAAGAAAACAAGAUUAUCAUCACACCAUCCACAACACCACGGACCACCUACCAGGCCAGGAAAACAGGUCACACACCUGGAAGUGGUGUUAGCGCCUAACGCUAACAAACGAUGGAUGAUUAAGAGUGGCCAUUACCCCGGGCCGGGCCCCAGACCACGGGGCCAGGAGCCAGGGUUGUGGGGGGCCCAGGCUAGAGUGCUCCGAGGCCUCAGCUUCCUGAACACAGCUGAAACCCUCUCUGGAAGCGCCCAGGCUGCAUGUCACCCCUGUCCCUGUGGGUGGUGCUGCUCGCAGGAUGACUGAUGACUGUGGCCUCGUGAUUGGCUGACGGAUGACUGUGGCUUCGUGACUGGCUGAGGGCCUGCAGAAGGAGGGCUAUGAGCUACGGGAGGAGGAGGUGUCGUCAUGACCACAGUCUGUCAUCAUGGACACCAGGAAAGUCCGUCAGAGGGAACUUUCUG